UAAAGCUUAUCAAUCAAUUGCGCAACCUCACGGUAAAAGGCAAACAAACUGAAUAAAAUGUUCAAGUGUUGGAGCACGGAUAUUCAUAGGGUAAGUCAGGUCACCAGAAACAAACACGAUUGCGCCUAAAACAUAAAUUGCGAUAGCAAAUUUUGAGGAAAGACAAACCUGUAACAUGUAAGUCUACCUCAGUAAGCAAGAUAUAAGGGACCAAUAUGGAUACCAAUAUGAGUCAUCAAGCUGAUGUCGACAUCCUUGUGUGCAACUAUAACGUCUAGCUGGUAUGCAGGACAAGUUGGAAAGACACUAUAGGCUGGCUGUGUUCGAUUCUGAAACACUACCGAGGCAUUGCUUGUUUCAGAUGAAUCGGGAUAACGCACCGUUACAGUGUGGGAAGUAAAUAUAGGAUUUCAGGCAAAGAAACGAUGAUUGUGCUCAGGGUCGGAGUAAGCUGUUUUGGGACCCAAGGCUGCACAUGUUACGGGGGCCCCUUCUCUCUGGUCCCCUUCUGUAUAUUGAAAAGUAUACUACAACUACAAAAAUUAGAAAACUUGCAUUUUUACACAGUUGACAGUUACAUGUUAUGUUUAGCAAAACAACUUAAACGAUG